GUUUCGGAGAAAGUUGGAAGGAAAAGACGGAAAUUAUGUGUAACGUGAAAAGAUGCAUUCGUUUAAAUAAAAAUCAAUGGAAAGUAACCGUAAAGAAAGUGUUUUGUCGGCGGAAUGAUGACAAAUGUGUUGGGAACGGUAGAACGUGGCCACUCUUAAAAGACGGUGAAUGCUGGAUUCGCAGGUGCAAAAUUUGGGAAGAUAAUCGCGUUGAAAUCACAUCAAAAUUAGGGGACAUUUGUUACGUAAAAAAAUUAUACUGAUCGAUCUAAACCUGAAACAAAAAUCGAAAGCAAAACGAAAAUCAGUUUGCUAUAAACUGAUAAAGACGGAGAA
rnacentral:lncRNA from 1 species